ACCUCGACGGUCCCAGCGUGAGAAUCGAGGUCAGCCUCCAGCUAGGUUUGGAGACUGGGUGUCUGGAGACCGUUCUCGGGACUAGAACGGUUUGGCGGGGGGGUAUGUCACAGUGUGACAAAUGGCAUGUGGAACUUAUUCCCGCUGAAGCAGUGUUCCCGGGGAAACGCUUUGAGUGUAACUCUGUUCCCAGGCCUGUGUGUGUGUUUGUUGCUGUGACAACCCCAAAUGAUGGAUUGGCAACAGGUGUGGGGGAUUUACUCAGAGUUUGCGUGAGGCCUCAUCAACAGUGGAGAGGAUAAAAAGCAAGAGAGAGAGGUGGUGCGUGUGGUUUUUCUCCCUUGUGAAAAGUCGUUUUAUUGGGUGGUAAUAGUGGCUGGAGGACGGGUGAAUGAAGUGGAAAGUGUUGCUUUGCUGAGGGAUUCGAGGACAACAGAAGGAGAGUGAAAUACCCUGUUUGCAUUGGAGAGGAGCUAAGUAACUGAGAACUGAGUCUUGUAAUUGCACACGUUUGACACUGAAUUGGAUGCGGUUUGGAGUGUUUGGAUCACGAUCAUAAAUAUCACUGAGUGGAUUGUAUUGAUUCAUUACCGAUCUCUUACCUCUCCCUCCUCUAUAAAUGGUGAUGUGAACUCUGCCUGUGACUGUGAAGAAAAACAUCUCAGAACAUCCUCCGUGGCAGUGAGGAUUGCGCCCUCCCCCUUCCCUUCGGACAGAAACCCGAAUGAGAAGAGAUGCCCUGUUGAAAUAUUUACUAUCUGCCUCAGAAAAGCUCUGUGCAACCUGUUGACUUCGAGUCUGCUGUAUUCCUGCCAUUCAACUGUAUGGUGAGAGGUGUUCGCUCCUUCCAAUACAUGUGAAUUGUAUACUUGCCUGAAACAUCCAGUCUGUCCGUCUCAGAAGAAGCCCCAUUCAGCCUGUUGACUUCGAGUCUGCUGUAUCCCUGCUAUUCGCCUGUAUUGUGAGAAGUAUUCGUUCCUUCCAGUGCAUGUGAACUGUAUACUUGCCUGAAACAUCCAUUCUGUCUGUCUCAGAAGAAGCCCCAUUCAGCCUGUUGACUUCGAGUCUGCUGUAUCCCUGCCAUUCAACUGUAUGGUGAGAGGUGUUCGCUCCUUCCAAUACAUGUGAAAUGUAUACUUGCCUGAAACAUCCAGUCUGUCCGUCUCAGAAGAAGCCCCAUUCAGCCUGUUGACUUCGAGUCUGCUGUAUCCCUGCUAUUCGUCUGUAUUGUGAGAAGUGUUCGUUCCUUCCAAUGCAUGUGAACUGUAUACUUGCCUGAAACAUCCAUUCUGUCUGUCUCAGAAGAAGCCCCAUUCAGCCUGUUGACUUCGAGUCUGCUGUAUCCCUGCCAUUCAACUGUAUGGUGAGAGGUGUUCGCUCCUUCCAAUACAUGUGAAUUGUAUACUUGCCUGAAACAUCCAUUCUGUCUGUCUCAGAAGAAGCCCCAUUCAGCCUGUUGACUUCGAGUCUGCUGUAUCCCUGCCAUUCAACUGUAUGAAGAAGCCCAUAUUCAGCCUGUUGACUUCGAGUCUGCUGUAUCCCUGCCAUUCAACUAAGAAGCCCCAUUCAGCCUGUUGACUUCGAGCCUGCUGUAUCCCUGCUACUCAUCUGUAUGAGGAAGCCCCAUUCAGCCUGUUGACUUCGAUAGAAACCCUGCACAGCCUGUUGACUUAGAGUUUGUUGCAUCCUUGUGGCCCACCUGUGCUGAGAGAGGUGACUGUCCUUUGUCACGAACGUGAGAGGGGCACGCUUUGUCUGGAAUAUCCACUCUGACGGUGUCAGGAGAAGCCACCUUACUGAAGACCGUGCACCUGCCGUAUACGUACUUGACUGAUAUCAUUCGCCUCAAAUUCCGUACCUGUGGAAGAAGGAAGGAAGGCUGGAAUUACAUACUUACCGGAGGAGACUUACCGGACCCCUCACUUGCCAAACACAUCCCCACCUCAAGGCUGUGUAUCUGCCGUGUACGGACCUGACCGAUAUCCAUCCGUCCCAAAUUCUGCAUCUGUGAAGAAGGGAAGGGAGUUUGGAAGUAUUUAAUUACCAGAGGAGACUUACCAGACUGCGGGCUUGCCGAUUGUAUUCCCACCUGUGAAAUACCUACUUGACCACCCAUCUGUCCAUCUAUUGCGGGGCCCGCACAGAGGAAGAGGGCGGGAGAGUCCCCGGUCGCUGCAUUGUUUACCUUCAAGCCCUGAGGGUAACAAAGAAGAUUUUAGUUUAGGAUUCCCAAUUUGUUUUUACUUCAAAAUAAAACUUGUUAAAUUUA